rnacentral:rRNA from 1 species
AUUCCAGCUCCAAUAGCGUAUAUUAAUGUUGUUGCAGUUAAAAAGCUCGUAGUUGGAUAUCUGGCCUUUGCGUUGACGACCCGCCCUGUUUUGGGAUGAGUGUUGGAGGCGUGGGUCUAUUUUCCGGUUGGUGUCUACUCCACUUUAUUGGGGCGUAGUUCACGAUCCGGAUCGUUUACUUUGAAAAAAUUCGAGUGUUCAUAGCAGGCUUACGCCGUGAAGAUCGCAGCAUGGAAUAAUAACAUAGGACUUGGUGUUCUAUUUUGUUGGUUCUGGGACCUAAGUAAUGAUUGAUAGGGACAGUUGGGGGUGCUGCUAUAGACUGGCCAGAGGUGAAAUUCUAAGACUCAGUCUAGAGCAACUUAUGCGAAAGCAUUCGCCAAGGAUGUCUUCAUUG